rnacentral:rRNA from 1 species
GCCUGUUUAUCAAAAACAUGGCCUUUUGUAAAUUAUUUAAGGUCCGGCCUGCCCAAUGAUUGUGAUUAAAUGGCCGCGGUACUUUGACCGUGCAAAGGUAGCAUAAUCAUUAGUUUUUUAAUUGAAAGCUUGAAUGAACGGUUAAACAAGAAAAUUACUGUCUCAAUUGAAUGGUUUUAGAAUUUUAUUUUUUAGUUAGAAAGCUUAAAUGUUUUUAAGGGACGAGAAGACCCUAUAGAAUUUUAUAGGUUUUUUUUAGUUUGUAUUUUUGGCUUAAUUAUUGUGAAUUAAGAAAAUUUAUUUUGUUGGGGUGAUGGAAAAAUUUGAGAAACUUUUUUUUAAGUUAAUCACUAAUAUGUGUUUUUAUGAUCCGUUAUUUUACGAUUAAAAGAAAAAAUUACCUUAGGGAUAACAGCGUUAUUAAUUUGGAGAGUUCUUAUUGAUAAAUUAGUUUGCGACCUCGAUGUUGGAUUAAAAUUAACUUUUGGUGUAGGGGCUUUAAAGUUAAGUCUGUUCGACUUUUAAAAUUUUACAUGAUCUGAGUUCAGACCGG